ACGGGGUGCAGCAGGCGCGAAAACUUUGCAAUGUGCGAAAGCACGACAAGGUUAAUCCGAGUGGUUUCUGCUAAAGGAACCUUUUGACAGUCCUAGAAACACUGUUGAAUAAGGGGUGGGCAAGUUCUGGUGUCAGCCGCCGCGGUAAAACCAGCACCUCAAGUGGUCAGGAUGAUUAUUGGGCCUAAAGCAUCCGUAGCCGGCUCAGUAAGUUUUCGGUUAAAUCUGUACGCUCAACGUACAGGCUGCCGGGAAUACUGCAGAGCUAGGGAGUGGGAGAGGUAGACGGUACUCGGGAGGAAGUGGUAAAAUGCUUUGAUCUUUCGAUGACCACCUGUGACGAAGGCGGUCUACCAGAACACGUCCGACGGUGAGGGAUGAAAGCUGGGGGAGCAAACCGGAUUAGAUACCCGGGUAGUCCCAGCUGUAAACUAUGCAAACUCAGUGAUGCAUUGGCUUGUGGCCAAUGCAGUGUUGCAGGGAAGCCGUUAAGUUUGCCGCCUGGAAGUACGUACGCAAGUA
rnacentral:rRNA from 1 species